CCUUACGGCCACACCACCCUGAGCGCGCCCGAUCUCGUCUGAUCUCGGAAGCUAAGCAGGGUCGGGCCUGGUUAGUACUUGGAUGGGAGACCGCCUGGGAAUACCAGGUGCCGUAAGCU
rnacentral:rRNA from 1 species